CCGUGCCCGGCGGCCGCUCCGCACGCGCUCCCACCGCUGCGCCACCAAAAGAGCCGGGUUUUGUCUGUUUCUCCCCCAAAAAUGAGCCUCCAGCAGCGGCGCCGGCACGGAGCGGGCUGCCCCGGGGGAUUCUCGUAAUCCCUCCUUGUCCUCAAGCAACACCGGGCACUGCGGCCCCGCGACUGGUGAGGAGCAAAGCCCCCUGGACAAGCCGGAUCAGGGACACCGAUUCCAUCACUGUGCAUCCACCUGGACACUGGGUGGGAUACCCGGGCACUGAGCGGGAUGCCCAGGCUCACGGCAGCCCCUGGCAGGACGGCAGCGGCAGGGGGGAAGAGGAUUUCCAUUCCUCACUGCAAACACUGGGAAACACAAGGCAGUGCCGGGAGCCCACAGCAUGUAGGAUCUCUGGGCAGUGAUCCGGGCAUUCCCACCGCAGCUGCAAGCUUCCUGGGGUGUUAUGCAAGAGCAGACCUCUGGCAUUCAUGGCUGUCUCUCGUUCUCCUGCUGCUCAUCUCCUCCCCCGGGAAGCCAGCGGAGCGGCGCAGACCUGCGCUAUCGGACUGAGCAGACCCCGGCUGUCAGCGGUCCUGCUCUGCCCUUUCCUGGGCUCGCUGCCGGGAGGUUCCAUCUCAGAAAGAGCCAUGAGCAGUGGCCGUUCUGGCAGCGGGUCCCUCACAGUGGGCAGCCAAGCCCCCUGAAUCCCGCCGGCUUAGGGGAUGUCACAGUGCAGUGACAGCUCCUGCUGGCGUUCCUGGAUGGGGCUCAGCACCUCUUCCUGGCUCAAAUGAUUUAUUUGUGCUUCCCAAUAGUUAAGACUGUGGUGAAGCUACCCAAGCUCUAUUUCCUGAGAAAUAUCUGGAAUAUCUAGAGCCUGCCUGAGCAGGAAGUUAUCUCCUAUGAGUUUAGCACAGAGUCAUCUCUGAGACUUUCUCAGUCUCCUGCAGAGCCCACCCGCAGCCUCCCGAACCAGGCACUGCUCCCCUCCCCUCAUACAGCUCCCCUUCCCUCCCGAGGGCUCUGAAGACCACUCUGGAGAAAACCAUCAGGGCUAUGACGAGCCACCACGUGAGUGAGGACCAGGAACACACGGACUGCGCCUCACCCAUCCCCACAUCUAUUUUGUAUGAUCCACGGGUGUAUUUUUAGCCCACAGGGCCGCGGCGGCCCCGCAGCCGAGCGCAGCAGCCCUUGUUCUCCCGACAAAGGCAGCCAGGCCUGCUCUCGGCUCUGCCCCGCUGUGCCGCUUGCUCACGCUUCACUGAGGCUGAAGAUGCUUUAGGCAGCAGAUUUGGAGAACGAGGAGCUGGGAAUGCAGGAGAACUCAGCUCUGCAAAAUCUCCCCUGCAUCCCAAGCCUCCGAGCUGGGUCCCGGCUGACUCCGUUCCCAGAAACGCAAACCCGUUCCCACUUGGGAGGUGCAGCCUUGCAAGCGGGAGGUGCGCGCGCGGAGCGGCGGCGGAGUGGGAUCGGGAUGCCGGGAUUGCUGGGAUCGGGAUGCCGGGAUUGCUAGGCAACCCGCCGGAGAAGGCCCGAGCCCCGGCAUCUACGCGGGGACACCCGGGCAGGGAACCACCCAGAGAGGAACCCACCGGGGGAACCUGCCCGGGGAUCUCCAGAAGGGCAAGUGUAGGAGUGUCCUGCCCGGCCGUGGGAGAGGAGGAGGAGGAGCAGGCGGGGGAUAAUGGCUGAGGAUGCACGAGAGCGGCAGCGGAGGGAAAAGCAGCCAUUGGAAACAGCACAAGGGAUCAAACCCCUGCAAGGCUGUUUGUGAACCGUGGGAACAAGUAUUACUCUGGGAAAAAUAUGUUUUUCCUUUUUUUCUUAGCCGAUUUCACAGCCUGUUUGCCAUCAGGGCCUUCAUUUGGAGGCAGUCAGAGUUGUUUAAAUUACUGCUGCUGGGAUUUUUUUAUCUUUAAGGAAGACGAGGUUUUCCUCGGAACUAUGGCUGGAGUACAGAGAUGACAAGACCCACUGUGGCUCCAUGUGGGUUUUCUCCUGAACACAGUUUCUGGAAUGUGGAGCCCCACAGCCCCAGCUCUGGGGAUCCCCUCAGUCCCCAGGGCUGAGCAUCAUGUCCCUGUCAGGGCAUCCAGUUCUGGGAUCUCCUCCACAAGGCAACAGAGGCCACUCAGUACCAGGGAGAGACACGAGGCAAUGAGGCAACAGCCCCCCUCCCCCCCAUCCUCCCCCAUGGCUCUCAGGGAUCCUCAACUUUGAGGUGCCCAAAGCAUGUCCGGCCCCUCCUCGUGACUCUGCCCAAAAAGGGGACGUUUGCAGAGCAUGUUCAGCUCUGACACAGCCCCAGCAGCUUAAGAUUGGACCUGCCAAGAGCUUCACCUGCCAGUGCCUGUCCCACCGGAGGGCCAGGGGCACGGUGCCAGCUGGAGCUCUCCCCAGAGAGCUGCCAAAACACCGGGUACCUGCACCACCCUUGGCCGCAAUGGAGAAGGUGGGAUGACAAGGCAAGACCCAGGGUUGUUUUUCUGGCAAGUGUCAGAUGCCCUGACCCAAAAAAGCCAAAGCGGAACGUGCAGUCCCAGCGAGGCACUGAACAGACACGCUCAGACUGCAAAGCACCGUGGGUGGAGCUGGGAGAGCCACACUGAUGGGUUCUGCGAUAAUGCUUUUUUAAAUAUAAUUUCCGAUAGAUUUCAUGGCUAAGUUAUGUAACAUAAUGAGCAAAUCUACAAUGCAAUUGUCACUGCACAUUAACAGCAAAAUCCUGAGCCUCUAUUACACUAACAAACUUAUUAAAUCAGUGAACAUUG